UUUUGUCCCUCGGCGGACACCGUUUCCGAGCCCAGCAAUGUCUGCGCUUUCGCCGAUAUCGUAGCGUGCCGAGUUCUACCCUUUCCCCGACGCUGGGCAUGGCGAGCCGAAGGGCCCGGCAGCGCCUCAAGGGCGGCGGCGGCGGCAGCGGCAGCGGCAGCGGCGGGGACACGGGCCCGGCCGCGGAGAAGCUGCGGGAGCUGCUGGGCAGCCGGGAGGCAGGCGGCGCGGAUCAGCGGCCCGAGUCUGGAAAUAAAGCAGGGCAAGUCUGGGCCCCUGAAGGAUCCACUGCUUUCAAGUGCCUGCUCUCAGCAAGGUUGUGCGCCGCUCUUCUGAGCAACAUCUCUGACUGUGAUGAAACAUUCAACUACUGGGAACCAACACACUACCUCAUCUAUGGGAAGGGGUUUCAGACGUGGGAAUAUUCCCCAGUGUAUGCCAUUCGCUCAUAUGCGUACCUGUUGCUGCAUGCCUGGCCAGCUGCGUUUCAUGCCCGGAUUCUGCAGACUAAUAAGAUUCUUGUCUUCUACUUUUUGAGAUGUCUCCUGGCUUUUGUGAGCUGUAUUUGUGAACUCUACUUUUAUAAGGCUGUGUGUAAGAAAUUUGGGCUGCAUGUGAGUCGAAUGAUGCUGGCCUUCUUGGUGCUCAGCACUGGCAUGUUUUGUUCAUCAUCAGCAUUCCUUCCUAGCAGCUUCUGCAUGUACACCACACUGAUCGCCAUGACCGGGUGGUAUAUGGACAAGACACCCAUUGCUGUGCUGGGAGUAGCAGCCGGGGCUAUCCUAGGGUGGCCGUUUAGCGCAGCCCUUGGUUUACCCAUCGCCUUUGACUCGCUGGCCCUGAAAAACAGGUGGAAGAGUUUCUUCCAUUGGUCGCUGGUGGCCCUAAUUCUCUUCCUGGUACCCGUGGUGGUCAUUGACAGCUACUAUUAUGGGAAGUUGGUGAUUGCUCCUCUCAACAUUGUUCUGUAUAAUGUCUUUACUUCUCAUGGGCCUGAUCUUUAUGGUACAGAACCAUGGUAUUUCUACUUAAUCAACGGGUUUCUGAAUUUCAAUGUUGCCUUUGCUUUGGCGCUUCUGGUCUUGCCACUGACUUUUCUUAUGGAGUACCUGCUGCAGAGAUUCCAUGUUCAGAAUUUAGGACACCCAUACUGGCUUACCUUGGCACCCAUGUACAUUUGGUUCAUAAUUUUCUUCAUCCAACCUCACAAAGAGGAACGGUUUCUUUUCCCCGUGUACCCACUCAUAUGUCUCUGUGGUGCCGUUGCUCUUUCUGCACUGCAGAAAUGUUACCACUUUGUGUUUCAACGAUAUCGCCUGGAGCAUUACACUGUGACGUCCAGCUGGCUGGCAUUAGGAACAGUCUUCCUGUUUGGGCUCUUGUCGUUCUCUCGCUCUGUGGCUCUGUUCAGAGGAUAUCAUGGGCCCCUUGAUUUGUAUCCAGAAUUUUACCGAAUUGCCACAGACCCAGCUAUCCACACUGUCCCAGAAGGCAGGCCUGUGAAUGUUUGUGUGGGAAAAGAAUGGUACCGGUUUCCCAGUAGCUUCCUUCUGCCUGAUAAUUGGCAACUUCAGUUCAUUCCAUCAGAGUUCAGAGGUCAGCUACCAAAGCCUUUUGCAGAGGGACCACUGGCCACUCGGACUAUUCCUGCUCACAUGAAUGACCAGAACCAAGAGGAGCCUUCCAGAUACAUUGACAUCAGCAAGUGCCAUUACUUAGUGGAUUUGGAUACCAUGAGAGAAACACCUCGGGAGCCAAACUAUUCAUCCAACAGAGAAGAAUGGAUCAGCCUGGCCCACAGGCCGUUCCUGGACGCAUCUAGUUUUGUCCAUGAGUACUGAGAAAUUUAAGAGUACUCUCUUCUUGAGGCCACGGAAUGCAAAGUACAUUCUAUUAUUAUCGUAAUGAAAGGUCCUGAGUAGUACAGGUCUUCAAAGCUGCUUCGGGCAUUCUACGUGCCCUUCCUGUCGGAUCAGUAUACAGUGUAUGUGAACUACACCAUCCUUAAGCCUCGGAAAACAAAGCAAAGCAGGAAGAGAAGUGGAGGUUAGCAGCACCCCCAUGGCUCAACGGACAGCCACCAUGUUAACUAGUGGUUCCACUGAGCUGACUUCCAGGUCAUCAUAUAACGCUCGUAAUAAAGGUCGCCUGAUACGAAUGCCA